rnacentral:rRNA from 1 species
UACGUAGGGAGCAAGCGUUGUCCGGAAUCAUUGGGCGUAAAGCGCGCGUAGGUGGCCAUGUAAGUCCGCUGUGAAAGUCGAAGGCUCAACCUUCGAAAGCCGGUGGAUACUGCAUGGCUAGAGUACGGAAGAGGCGAGUGGAAUUCCUGGUGUAGCGGUGGAAUGCGCAGAUAUCAGGAGGAACACCAAUGGCGAAGGCAGCUCGCUGGGACGUGACUGACGCUGAGACGCGAAAGCGUGGGGAGCAAACAGG